UAAAAAUGGGCCUUCUAAGUAUUGUGUAUUUACAUUAUGUAAAAUGUGCUUUCAUUUGCUCUCGCCACCCCUCUCUUUGUCUAAUUUUGAAAGACAUCAGGUUUUUUUUUUUUUUUUGUGUUGAGGUUUCAGUUUGUAUACUAAGAAAGAAACUAAGGGUGAGGCAAGGAAUGCUUUCUGCUUCAAGCUGUUGCCUUCCUAUUGGUAGGCAGAUAGGACAGAGAACCUUCUGGAUAUAGAGAACUAACUGGAUGAGGAUUUGAGAUACAAUGCUGUUUUCAUCUAAUUGGAUGGGAAAAUGUAUCUAGUGAAAAGGUGUCAUUGAGUAUCAGCCUAAGUCACGUCAAUAGUUUCAGGGUCUCUCUCCUGUUUCAGCUACAAGACAAAGAGCAUCUCUUGACCUGUUGUCAGUUGCAGCUCUUUUUCACUGUGGACGGUUGGUGGGUGAAAUGACAAAGCAAGGUGCACCUGUAAGGGGUAACGACCUGGUGAGGAACACUGACUGAAUUGCUACUGGCACUUAGUUAUUUUUUCAAAGCAGAAGUAGGUGUGAUCUGCUUCAACAGGUGGUGUAAGUGCCUUCCAUAAACAAAACGGAUAAAGAACAUACAAGAAUUUGUCUUGGCACAUCUGAGGGAAGCCUCCAAACAUUUACAAACGGAUAACGUAGUUCAGAAGGGGUGCUUACAAGCUGGUCGUAAUACAGCUCAUACCAAUUUUGGUCAAACUUGUAUUGUCCACCUUGUAGCAGUUUAUCCGUUUAUGACACCUUAGAAAAGCAUGUAGUUUUUUGACAGAAUUUCCGAAUUUGCAGAUAAUGUCAAAUUUGACUAUUGCCUAUGUUAGGUUCGCUUUGAAGAUGAGGUCCUUAAACCAAACUUCAGGUCUUGCUUCUAGAAAAACAUGCAGUUGUAUCAGACACGCGGUUAAUGACUGAUUGACCUGCAGUGCUUUAUUCUUCUGUGUAUUCUCCAUCCUCACAGGGUAUUCUCUUAUCCCACACAGCAAGCGACAAUAUUGUAAGCCUUACUAAUUACUAGCAGAAGAAUCAGUAUUGGCGAUCAAAUGUGAGGUAUCUGACUUCCUCAGGAGUUGGUUAGACAGUCUUGGGCUGUCUUUUUGCUGCUAGUAAUCCAUCUAACCUUAAGUGUUGCAUUACAAAACAGGGUUGCAGCACUUGCAACACACAGGACUCUGAUGCCUGGCAGUCAACUGGAUGCAACCAGUGCUGCUUUGAACAGGGCAGGACUGGAGACAACCUAGCACGUGGCACGUUUUAUGCUUUAGAUAUGAACACAUCACAGAAGUUUGGCCAGUGAAGUUGUCCUAUGCUAUUAGGUAGUGGAGAUGUUUCACAGCUAAAGGAUGUGUGACUGCUUUCAGGUAUAAAACAGAAAUAAUUCUGCUGGAAUCUCAUGCCAGAGUGAGAGAUGAGGGAAGAGCUUUUCCCACGUCUGAAACACUGUUACACAGGGAGGCUGGUGGCUUCUCUGCUGCUCAUGGAAGGAUCCAUGUCCUGGUGAUGGCCAAAUACCUCCAAGGAAUCUCUGGGAUUUGUGAGUGCUGUUAGAAAAAAUGCCCUGCGCUUUCUACGAGCUGAAAGGUUUCUUCUGAUUGGUUGUCAUGCACACAAGUCUGAUGCAAAAGAACCCAAAAACACAGAUCUAGGGUAUGCAUGCUGACUGGGUAAGUCCACUGGGGCCGUGUUAGUAUACUGUAUGUAGCCAUAGAGAAUGAGUUUCUAUAUGCCGUCUGUCGUCUUUCCUAGCAUUUUCUUUGGCCUGUGGACUCUGAUCUACCCUUAAUUGAAGUGCCUGUAGGCUUCUUUCUGUAGGAAAGAAGAGUUACUGUGAGUGGGGUAUUCCAUUACAUUCUAUAAGCCUUUUUUUUUUUCUUUCUUAUAUCCUGUGCUCGAAGCCUUCUACCAUGCAUGUACCAUGGAAUUCAAAACUUCAUGUUAACCAACAUUCUAGCUUAUGCAGGAGUGAGAGUAGGGGGAGCCUGUUGUAAACCAGUGACAGAGAUUUUGGUUUUCAUUUUUCGCUUUUUUUUUUUUGCGAACGUAUUGUGCUUGUUUGAUACGUCAGCAGUCACAUGUGACACGGCAGUCUUUGGAUGAAUCCUUCUUUUCUACAAAAGUAAGUUUUUUUUACCUGAAGACAUUUCAGGUUUUUUUUUGUUUUGUUUUGUUUUUUGCCCUGCAUAGAAGGCGUUUAAGAAUUGACAACUGCAAGUGAAGUAACAAGUAAAUAUCAAACUGUAUGCCCUCUGCCUCCAUAUGCUUUUUUUUUUUUUUUUUUUUUACAUAAGAGUGAAAACCAAAUUACUGUUGUGUGGUCUUUUCAUUUCAUUUUGUUCAAUAUGCCAUUCGUUUUCCAGUUUCUUUAAUAUUUGCAGUACCUUGCAGAGCACAGAAAAUUAUCCGUUUCUUGCUCAGGUUAAUCAUUUCUGUGGUAGAGGUGAAACUAUAUCAAGGCUGGUGUCUGAAUCACACACAUGCAUGCUCUGCUUUUCUUGUGUGUUCCAAUUUGUUUGCACUUAAUCUUGGGGUAUUGGCGAACAUGGUUGGAAUGGGCAAGAAAAAGGACUUUCAGUUCGGACUUGCUGGAAAACAGUGUUCUGCAGUGCUGUGCGGACUGAAGGAGCGUGUACUCUUUAUCAGUGACUGAGCACCAACAAGAGGAAAGCCAUUCAACAUGGGUAAGUGUAGAAACACCCCGUUAAAACUUGCAGCUUUUUCACGUCUCAAAAACUCAAAAACUAAAGCCUUCAAGUGUGCUUGUUUCUUUUCUUACACACUGAGCCCAGUAAAAUAAAAACAUCUGAUUGUUUGGCAAGUAUGGCAGCUGUGCAGGUAUCUGGCACUAACGCACAUGUCAGAACGUGUUAAACAGUUUGCCUGCUUAAUACGUAAGGAAAAUCCCCUAAGGAAAGCAUCUCAGCUUUUGCUGGUGAUUUGAAUUUCCAUUGAGCUCAGUUCUGUAGUCUGUAUGUUCCUUGCUGAAGAAAAAUUCGUGUUUAAUUUGAUGGACGUUUGACCUGUUUGAUCAAUCUGGAUAAUGAAGGUAACAUUUAGUCCAGUGUUUUUAAUGGUUAAAAGUCUUCUGAAGUCUAUAAUCAGUUUUGGAAACCGAUUUCUCACAGAUCUUGGAAAAGAUCAACAAGUAUGAUAUUUUGUUUCAACUUUCAGUUGUUAAUUUUAUUGGGGUUUUAUUACUUCAUGAAAAGGUGUGCUCUUGUGUCUGAAGUAAAAUGAUGCCAAGAAGCAGUGAUGUUCUUCAUAGUCUCUGUAAAACUUGCGUUAGCAAACUUUCCAAUUAACUUGUGAUCCACAGUUUGAUGAUGCAGUGAUCACUCAAAGAUGUUGCAGGUGCCUCAGAGGAAUCUAAAGUGCUAGAUGCAUUUACCAAAAAGUCUGUUUUCCACCAUGCCAUAUACUGUUUUAAGUUCAUUUUCCAUCUGCAUUAAUGGCUGGUUUAACUAAAAUGCAUUUGCAAGCUGAGUGGUCUCUAGAAAACUUGACAAUAAGUGAAGACAACCCCUGUGAUGUGGGGUGCAAAUGCACUCAUCGUUGCUGCUUCUGUUUAGAAGCAGCUCAGGCAGAAAUCAAUAUGUAAGUGAGGCAGAAGGGAGGUGUCAGACAAGAUGAAUUGUCUUGUUCAUCUCCCUGUACCUAAACCCAAAAUCGCUAAUGCACUUGGCUGCCAAUCCCGCAUCUGUUUUUAAAAGAUUUUGGUAGAUCAUUAAGCAGUGUUAAGGUAUGAGCUCCCACUUCAAGGCAGUUUUUGGGGAAAAAAAAAAAGCCAGGCUGCUGGGCUCCAUUUAGCUGUUUUUGUUCCCCAGAAGCGACAGCAAACAUGGGUAAAAAACGUCUUAAAUUCUAGGUUACUUUUAAAGGAAUUAUGUAUUGAAUGACAUGCAAUAGAAGAAAAUGAUGUGUUCACGUUUUGACACAGCUGGUGUGGGUUGGGGGCUGAGGCAGCCUGCACUAACCCUCUUUGAUCUGGUCCUGCACUUGCUGGCCAGCAGGACCAGGUGUGGUGUGGUUGGAGACAGGUUCCAGCACGGCUGCAAUAUGUCCCACUUCAUUUCUAAUCCACCACAAAACAAACAAACAAAAGCAAACAAAAACAGAGAAGCAUCUGCAUUCAAAAACAAGCAGUCCAACGUGUCAAUUUUAUCUUAAAAACCACUUAGUGCCUUGAGUGAAACAAAUGAAACAAUACCAGAACCAGUUGUCUCUGGUGUCAGGCAUCGGAGGAGCAGUGAGAUACAAUUUAAACGAAGAAACAAGCCGACCUCUUUUGCUACAGACCUUGCCAGUACAACAGUAUAUUAGAUGUGAGCUGCUGUGUUUUCCUUAGCUUUGUUGUUGUUCCAGUUAGUUCAUUUAAUAGCUAUCAUUUGAC